CAGAAGUCAGGUCGGAUUAAGCCAUAGUACGGAAAAAACUAUGCUACCUGUGAGCCCCGUCCAAGGACGUUAAAAGAAGUCAGGCCACUACAAGUGCCAUAGCUUGAGUAAACUAUGCAGCCUGUAGCUCCACCUGAGGUG
rnacentral:lncRNA from 1 species